UACUAAUACAUCGGAUCCCAUUAGAACUCCAUAAUAAAGCAUGUUUGGGCGAGAAUAUUACUAGGAAGGUGACCUCCUAGGAAGUCCUCUUCAUGC